UAGUCAUAUGCUUGUCUCAAAGAUUAAGCCAUGCAUGUCUAAGUAUAAGCUUCUAUACGGUGAAACUGCGAAUGGCUCAUUAAAACAGUUAUCGUCUCCUUGACAGUCAUCCAGUUUUGGAUACCUAUGGUAAUUCUAGAGCUAAUACAUAUGCACAGACCCAACUUCACGGAAGGGUUGCGCUUAUUAGAUACUGAACCAACCCAGGCUUGCCUGGUCUUGAGUUGACUCAUAGUACCCAGCGAAUCGCGUGGCUUUGCCGGCGAUGUGUCAUCCGAGUUUCUGACCUAUCAGCUUCCGACGAUAGGGUAUUGGCCUACCGUUGCUUUGACGGGUAACGGAGAAUUAGGGUUCGAUUCCGGAGAGGGAGCCUGAGAAAUGGCUACCACAUCUAAGGAAGGCAGCAGGCGCGCAAAUUACCCAAUCUUGGCAUAGGGAGGUAGUGACAAGAAAUAACAAUACAGGGCAUCCAUGUUUUGUAAUUGGAAUGGACAGAUGUUAACCUUCUCUG
rnacentral:rRNA from 1 species